rnacentral:tRNA from 1 species
GGCCGGUUAGCUCAGUCAGUUGAGCGUGGCGCUAACAAUGCCAAGGACCUGAAUUCGAUUCCUGUUCGGUCC